rnacentral:rRNA from 1 species
UACGUAGGUCCCGAGCGUUGUCCGGAUUUAUUGGGCGUAAAGCGAGCGCAGGUGGUUUAAUAAGUCUGAUGUAAAAGGCAGUGGCUCAACCAUUGUGUGCAUUGGAAACUGUUAGACUUGAGUGCAGUAGAGGAGAGUGGAAUUCCAUGUGUAGCGGUGAAAUGCGUAGAUAUAUGGAGGAACACCGGUGGCGAAAGCGGCUCUCUGGCCGGUAACUGACGCUGAGGUGCGAGAGCGUGGGGAGCAAACAGG